rnacentral:rRNA from 1 species
GACGAACGCUGGCGGCGUGCUUAACACAUGCAAGUCGAACGGAAAGGCCCUGCUUUUGUGGGGUGCUCGAGUGGCGAACGGGUGAGUAACACGUGAGUAACCUGCCCUUGACUUUGGGAUAACUUCAGGAAACUGGGGCUAAUACCGGAUAGGAGCUCCUGCUGCAUGGUGGGGGUUGGAAAGUUUCGGCGGUUGGGGAUGGACUCGCGGCUUAUCAGCUUGUUGGUGGGGUAGUGGCUUACCAAGGCUUUGACGGGUAGCCGGCCUGAGAGGGUGACCGGCCACAUUGGGACUGAGAUACGGCCCAGACUCCUACGGGAGGCAGCAGUGGGGAAUAAUGGACAAUGGGCGGAAGCCUGAUGCAGCAACGCCGCGUGCGGGAUGACGGCCUUCGGGUUGGAAACCGCUUUCGGCUGUUACGAAGCGUGAGUGACGGUAAUGGGUAAAGAAGCAACGGCUAACUACGUG